rnacentral:lncRNA from 1 species
AGCUGCAGUUGCCAGCCUAUGCCACAGCCAUGGCAAUGCUAAAUCUGAGCUGCAUCUACGACCUAAGCUGCAGCUGGUGGCCACACUGGCUCGUUAACCCACUGAGGCCAGGGAUCGGAUCAGCACCCUCAUGGAUACUAGUCCAUUUCUUCACCAACUGAGCCACAACAGGAACUCCUGAAGUUACUUUUUUAGUGAGGAGAACCUGGGCUUUGGAGUCAGACCUGGUGCACAUUCAAGGUUGGGCACCUUCUGCAUGGGAUCCCCGGCAGGUUUCCCAUCCUCCUGGAGGUCCAGUGUCCUCCGGUGUGAAGUCUCUCAUGCAGUUGGGGGGAACUGAACACAGCACGAGAAGCACCCAGGAUGGCCAGUGUCCGACCCAGGACCUGGGGUCAUCAGUUCCCUCUGUCCUCCUGUGAGAUACCGAAGAGGAUGUGAGCUGAAGCUCCACUUCCUUCCUACCCCCCUGCACCCCUCAUUUUCCUGCACAGGGGAAAGUGUCGCUACCAUUCACAUGCAGAAUGUCAGACCACGAAAGUAAAUAAUCUUCAAGCUAGAAAGGACCUGGAGAUCACCUAGGCUGGUGGCUUUUAACUUUUCAUAGGGUGAUGAAAGGCAAGUUCACUUUGGAAAAAGGGCACAAAUGGCCCAAAUUUGUAGUCAAGGUUUUGAUGACUACAGCUUUCUGAAGGAUGGGACCUGCUCCUUCAUGGUUAUCCAAAGCACCUUUGUCAUGGCCUUACACCAAGAACUUUGUACUCAGGACAUGGCUUUGUAGUACAUAGUCAGUUGCCUGGCUAAAUUGCUAAGGGAAGACAAUGUUCCCGUGUCACAAAUAUUUUAACCUAGCGUUUGGGAGCUUUGUUCCCAGAUGAGUAAAUAAGCAUCAUGAGUACAAAUUUAACAGACUCAAAGUGGGGGGAGGGGGGCUUUUGCAAAAUCCCUGUUCCCAGGAAAUCAAAUCCCAUAUGGCAAACUACAUGCUCUGCAAAACCGCCAGCCUGAAUGUGACGCCCCAGUUUGGAAGUGAGCCUCCAAUGCCAUUUCAGAUGUAGUUCUCUAGGUUGCUCUAAGCACCAAAUGUGUUUGUUUUGCUUUUAACGCUUUGGAAGCUCAGAACAAAUUCCAAGUGUUGGCAAACUGUUGGCUGCCUCAAUCUGGUUUCCGCCCACACCAGGCUGCUGAGACUUUGUGAAGGGCACUGGUGGCUCCCGCACUGCCAAGCCCAGUGGCCUCCUUUUGGUCUGCAUCUUCUGCCCACGGGUCAGCCUUGAAUUCUGAUGACCCCUCCCUAUCCUAGCUUCCUGAGUUGGCUACCGCACGUUCUUCAGGCUUUUCUCAGACCUGGGAGUACUCUUUGUCUCAUGAUGACACUUGAUGGGUCCCUUUCCUAGGCUUUAUCCCCACACAUGACUUCAAUGGCCACCCGUUUGCCAGGGUCUUCCUCAAAAGCCUCUUUAGCAAAGACCUCUCUUCUGAGUUGCUCCACACCUGAAUCUCACCUGUCUACCUCUGUCUCCAUGUUGACACCUUUUUGCAUCUGAAUCAGUCCAGGAAACAUCUGAGCCCAUCACUUCUAGGAUCACAACAUACUUGUAACAGCCCUUUGUACCAUUCACUCAUUCACCAAGCAUUUACUGGGCCUCAGUUAUGUGCCAGGCUCUGUGUUAGGCUGCACGAUCAAGGAAAUUGAUUUCUGGCCCAACCCUAAAGAGAGAAGGAAGCCACUGUCUCAGAUAAAGUCCAAGCUGUGACUCUUUCUUCUAGAAUAUCUCCCCAAACCUCUGCUCACUUGGAUAAGACCCCACCAAUGAGGGGCCAUGUGUGCUGCUGCACAUGUCCUCCUUCUCUUCUGUUAUCUUCUCUUCCUGCUGUGACCCCAUCGAAGGUUGCAAAGGCAGCUGGUGAUGGACGCCCAACUGCUGUGGGUGAGAUUCAGGACUCCAGCCAAGGAUGGCCUUCACAUCUCACCCUUUAGAGGAACUAUAAAACCUAAGUCAUCCAGGGGAACUCUGAUGGUGAGCCCCCCCACCCCACACCAGCCAGUCAGCCCUGGCUGACUCUUUUCCUGCACCCAGAAGGGACUUAGCCACCAUCAGUGACAGAGGGGCCAAGACACACCUGACUUCAGCCUGGGCUACAAACCAUAUCCCUGAGAGCAGAUGAGCACAUCUCUUCAAGGUCUUUAUUUUUCCUCUCUCUGAGGGGAAGUUGAGGCUACUGUUUUUGGCGAUCUGAAGGAGCUGACCUUCUUGGCACACACUUGGGGAGUAAGGCUAACCACAAAUAUUGAAUGUGCAUUUACUAGAACACAAGUAUGCGACAUGGUUUCCAUACUACACACCGUUCAAUGGUUUACAUAUAUAUUAUUGUACAUAAUACUUCCAAUAACCUCACGAGGUGGGCGUAUUAGUGUCCCUAUUCCACAGAUACAGAAAGUGGGCCAGAGAGUGAGCAACGUAUACAGAAAGAGUAAGGAGCUGAGCCAGAGUUUGAACCCAGGCUUUCAGGCUGCAGGGCCUUCGGUCUGCUUCUUCCCUAAUGAGAUGAUAACGUGAGCACUUAAUUCCUGGCAUCCUUCCUCUGCUGGCAGAGGCUGACAUGGACUCUCUCAUCUCCAUGGACAACCAGGCGGGCAGCAUCGGGCACUCAUUUUCAAAACUGAACCCAUGAUUACUUCUCCGACAUUGUCCUUGUCCUGGAUUUGUUAGAAGCAUCCCUAAUUACACACUCCCCCAAGACAGAAACCUCAGCAUCAACUGUUAACAUAAAAGUUUGAUGAGAGGACUGGGAGGUGGACGUACAUGCUACCAAGUCCAAAGUCAAGUAAGUUGCCCUCCCAUCUGCCCUGCCGUGCGAUGGGCUGGAUUAGAUUGAAAGGAUGCUGUCACAAAAGCCAAAGAGUGCCAGCGGCUCCCAGAAGCUGGGAGGGAAAAGGAAGUCUCCCCCUCCAGACACUUGAGAGGGAGCACAGCCCUGCCAACCUUGACUUUGGACUCUAGCCUUCAGAACCAUGAGACAAUAAACGUCUAUUGUUUUAAGCCACUUAGGCUGUGGUACUUUGCUACAGCAGUCCUAGAAAACCAGUCUAAUCAGUUUUCUAACUGCCCUCUUUAUCUACAAGUCUGGAUAUGGGUUUCAUAUCUAUCUGUCCAGAGACAUUUGAAUUGCAGGUAGCAAAUACUCAUGUAUAUACUUCACACAAGGGUGGCACCUCAUGCGCUAUUCUUUAUGGCCCUUUUCACUUAUAAAUACACCAGGACUAAUUUUAAACACUGUGGUAAAGUAUAUACAACAUAACAUUUACCAUUUUACAAUUCUUUUCUUUUUUCCUUUUUUAGGGGCGCACCCAUGGCAUAUAGAAGUUCCCAGGCUCAGGGUCGAAUUCAAACCAGCUUAUGCCACAGCCACAGCAACACUGGAUCCAAGCUGCAUCUGGGACCUAUGCUGCAGCUUGCAGCAAUGCCAGAUCCUUAACCCACUGAGUGAAGCCAGAGAUCGAGUCCACAUUCUCAUGGAUACUAGUCUGGUUCUUAACCCACUGAGCCACAAUAGGAACUCCACUAUUUUACCACUUUUUUUUUUUU